rnacentral:misc_RNA from 1 species
GAUGAAGAACGCAGCAAAAUGCGAUAAGUAAUGUGAAUUGCAGAAUUCAGUGAAUCAUCGAAUCUUUGAACGCACAUUGCGCCCGCCAGUAUUCUGGCGGGCAUGCCUGUUCGAGCGUCAUUUCAACCCUCAAGCUCAGCUUGGUGUUGGGACUCGCGGUAACCCGCGUUCCCCAAAUCGAUUGGCGGUCACGUCGAGCUUCCAUAGCGUAGUAAUCAUACGCCUCGUUACUGGUAAUCGUCGCGGCCACGCCGUAAAACCCCAACUUCUGAAUGUUGACCUCGGAUCAGGUAGGAAUACCCGCUGAACUUAAGCAUAUCAAUAAGCGGAGGA